AGAGUUUGAUCCUGGCUCAGAACGAACGCUGGCGGCAUGCCUAACAUAUGCAAGUCGAACGAAGCCUUCGGGCUUAGUGGCGCACGGGUGCGUAACGCGUGGGAAUCUGCCCUUUGGUUCGGAAUAACAGUUGGAAACGACUGCUAAUACCGGAUGAUGACGAAAGUCCAAAGAUUUAUCGCCAGAGGAUGAGCCCGCGUAGGAUUAGCUAGUUGGUGUGGUAAAGGCGCACCAAGGCGACGAUCCUUAGCUGGUCUGAGAGGAUGAUCAGCCACACUGGGACUGAGACACGGCCCAGACUCCUACGGGAGGCAGCAGUGGGGAAUAUUGGACAAUGGGCGAAAGCCUGAUCCAGCAAUGCCGCGUGAGUGAUGAAGGCCCUAGGGUUGUAAAGCUCUUUUACCCGGGAUGAUAAUGACAGUACCGGGAGAAUAAGCCCCGGCUAACUCCGUGCCAGCAGCCGCGGUAAUACGGAGGGGGCUAGUGUUGUUCGGAAUUACUGGGCGUAAAGCGCACGUAGGCGGCUUUGUAAGUUAGAGGUGAAAGCCUGGAGCUUAACUCCAGAACUGCCUUUAAGACUGCAUCGCUUGAAUCCGGGAGAGGUGAGUGGAAUUCCGAGUGUAGAGGUGAAAUUCGUAGAUAUUCGGAAGAACACCAGUGGCGAAAGCGGCUCACUGGACCGGUAUUGACGCUGAGUGCGAAAGCGUGGGGAGCAAACAGGAUAGAUACCCUGGUAGUCCACGCCGUAACGAUGAUAACUAGCUGUCCGGGGACUUGGUCUUUGGGUGGCGCAGCUAACGCAUUAAGUUAUCCGCCUGGGGAGUACGGCCGCAGGUUAAACUCAAAUGAAUUGACNGGGCC
rnacentral:rRNA from 1 species